rnacentral:rRNA from 1 species
GAUGAACGCUGGUGGCGUGCCUAACACAUGCAAGUCGAGCGAUUCUCUUCGGAGAAGAGCGGCGGACGGGUGAGUAACGCGUGGGUAACCUGCCCUGUACACACGGAUAACAUACCGAAAAGUAUGCUAAUACGAGAUAACAUGCUUUUAUCGCAUGGUAGAAGUAUCAAAGCUUUUGCGGUACAGGAUGGACCCGCGUCUGAUUAGCUAGUUGGUGAGGUAACGGCUCACCAAGGCGACGAUCAGUAGCCGACCUGAGAGGGUGAUCGGCCACAUUGGAACUGAGACACGGUCCAAACUCCUACGGGAGGCAGCAGUGGGGAAUAUUGCACAAUGGGCGAAAGCCUGAUGCAGCAACGCCGCGUGAGCGAUGAAGGCCUUCGGGUCGUAAAGCUCUGUCCUCAAGGAAGAUAAUGACGGUACUUGAGGAGGAAGCCCCGGCUAACUACGUG